UACGUAGGGGGCAAGCGUUGUCCGGAUUUAUUGGGCGUAAAGAGCGUGUAGGCGGUCAGGUAGGUCCGUUGUGAAAACUCGAGGCUCAACCUCGAGACGCCGAUGGAAACCAUCUGACUAGAGUCCGGAAGAGGAGAGUGGAAUUCCUGGUGUAGCGGUGAAAUGCGUAGAUAUUGCUCGGAAGGCCAACGGCGAAGGCAGGUUACUGGUACGCAACUGACGCUGAGGCACGAAAGCGUGGGGAGCAAACAGG
rnacentral:rRNA from 1 species